rnacentral:rRNA from 1 species
GACGAACGCUGGCGGCGUGCUUAACACAUGCAAGUCGAACGGAAAGGCCCUGCUUUUGUGGGGUGCUCGAGUGGCGAACGGGUGAGUAACACGUGAGUAACCUGCCCUUGUCUUUGGGAUAACUUCAGGAAACUGGGGCUAAUACCGGAUAGGAGCUCCUGCUGCAUGGUGGGGGUUGGAAAGUUUCGGCGGUUGGGGAUGUACUCGCGGCUUAUCAGCUUGUUGGUGGGGUAGUGGCUUACAAAGGCUUUGACGGGUAGCCGGCCUGAGAGGGUGACCGGCCACAUUGGGACUACGAUACGGCCCAGACUCCUACGGGAGGCGGCAGUGGGGAAUAUUGCACAAUGGGCGGAAGCCUGAUGCAGCAACGCCGCGUGCGGGAUGACGGCCUUCGGGUUAUAAACCGCUUUGGCCUGUGACGAAGCGUGAGUGACGGUAAUGGGUAAAGAAGCACCGGCUAACUACGUG